rnacentral:sRNA from 2 species
UGCAUCUAUAGCCUGUGAGGAUGAGAACCUCCGGGGGCAGGAGGUUCGACUCGAGCGCAGCGAGAGAACGUUGCGUCAGCAACGGCCCGCAGGGCGAGCCACGUAGUGGCGAGUCAUCCUCUAUCACCGACCA